rnacentral:rRNA from 1 species
AAUGAACGCUGGCGGCGCGCCUAAUACAUGCAAGUCGAGCGAGAAGACGUAGCAAUACGUUUGUAAAGCGGCGAACGGGUGAGGAAUACAUGGGUAACCUACCCUCGAGUGGGGAAUAACUAGCCGAAAGGUUAGCUAAUACCGCGUACGCUCCUUGGACUUCGGUUCAGGGAGGAAAGCGAUACCGUGGGUAUCGCGCUCUUGGUUGGGCUCAUGUCCUAUCAGCUUGUUGGUGAGGAACGGCUCACCAAGGCUUCGACGGGUAGCUGGCCUGAGAGGACGAUCAGCCACACUGGCACUGCGACACGGGCCAGACUCCUACGGGAGGCAGCAGUAAGGAAUAUUGCGCAAUGGGCGAAAGCCUGACGCAGCGACGCCGCGUGGGGGAGUGAAGGUCUUCGGAUUGUAAACCCCUUUCGGGAGGGAAGAUGGAACGAGCAAUCGUUCGGACGGUACCUCCAGAAGCAGCCACGGCUAACUUCGUGCCA